GUGGGGAAUCUUGCGCAAUGGGCGAAAGCCUGACGCAGCCAUGCCGCGUGAAUGAUGAAGGUCUUAGGAUUGUAAAAUUCUUUCACCGGGGACGAUAAUGACGGUACCCGGAGAAGAAGCUCCGGCUAACUUCGUGCCAGCAGCCGCGGUAAUACGAAGGGGGCUAGCGUUGCUCGGAAUUACUGGGCGUAAAGGGCGCGUAGGUGGACAGCUUAGUCAGAGGUGAAAGCCCAGGGCUCAACCUUGGAAUUGCCUUUGAUACUGGCUGUCUUGAGUUUGGGAGAGGUGAGUGGAACUCCGAGUGUAGAGGUGAAAUUCGUAGAUAUUCGGAAGAACACCAGUGGCGAAGGCGACUCACUGGCCCAAUACUGACGCUGAGGCGCGAAAGCGUGGGGAGCAAACAGGAUUAGAAACCCUAGUAGUCC
rnacentral:rRNA from 1 species